ensembl:lncRNA
CAGUUGCUGAUCAAACUCAGCCCUUUAAGGCAAUUCCUCAGAUACCCAGGGCACUGUAUCUACAUCUUCAUUAGCAAUAAAGGGCACCAGCUUGAGGUAGACUCUGUAGACUGGGAAACAGGAAAGGGCUGUUUUCUAGCUCAAUCAUCAGCCUCACAACCGUACUUCAAAGUUAAACAGUCAAAAGAUGAUUGCAAGGGGAACAAAAAUAAAUAAUUAAGCAAGCAAAUAAAGCAAGAGUUAAGAAAAAAAAAAAAAAGGUAUUGAAAGAAAAAAGGCAAUUUUCUUACUCCAGCCAUAAACACCAGCCCUCUUGCUCAAAAAUCCUUCUGAGGAAUGCAAGCCCUAUACUGUCUGAGCCGGCAAAUGCAAUCUCACAGGCAGGAGGUGGGAAGAGCUGAACAUCUCUAGCAAUGCAUCUACCUGGAUCGUACAUUUCCUUCUCUGGCUUCAAGUGAAAUACAGGCUUGCACCUACCUGUAAACCAGGGCCAUUAGGCUGGAUACAGACUUCUACCUUACCACCCCAUAUCCACACCCCCCCCCAGUUCAGCAACAUCCCUACCCAUGCCCUCUGCUCACCCCCUGCCUCCUGCUGUCCAGGAAAACAAGCAAUUGCUUCUCAAGGCACCCAUCAGCGAUUGAAUAGAAACGUAGAUCCAUGAAGGGGUGAGAGCCACGCAUGAAACUCUGGAAUUUCCCAGUGUAACACUAGUAAAUCCACCAGUCCAACGUGGUGCUUUUCAUAGAAAAACAAAAGGGAGAGGAAGAACAAAAUCUACCAGGUCUCCUCCAUCUACCCACUGUCUUCACCACCCUAGUUGUCCAUGGCCAAAUCCAGCUGGAGCCUACAAGGCAUUUCCUAACUAGAAGCACACCCCUUGUCCUCACUGUCUCCCCAGCAUCCAGACCCUGAGAGAUGCUCCCCCAUUACCUGGAGGAUCCAGCCCCCCCGAAGGCAAAACUAUCCUUAUUACGAAAUAAUUAAAUCCAAGCGUGCACCCAAGGCAGCCGGCACCCUUCAGCCCAAUGCAACUGGGCAAGGGUGCAACUGACGGCCAGGCAAUGGCUGGUGAGCAUCCAUCCGUUGGGUGGUUAGUUACCUUUAGUCACCUCCAGCUCCUGAGAUGCAAGUCUCCAUCAGUUCCUCAACAACCUGCAGCAGGGAGCUGCUGCCACAAUCCAGCCAUUAAAACCAGGGGUGGGGGUAGGAAGCAAACCUGGCCACAGUACCAAAGCCCCCAGCCAGGAGGAAAAGGGGGGGAUGAGAAGCAAGGAACGUCCCUCAAGGAAGGAGAAAAAAAAAAAAAAAAAAAAAAGAAAAAAAAAGGAAAAAAAAAAAAAGGAAGAAGAAAAAGUCUCUCCUUUUCUGCCGUGUCUUCUGCUACACAGGCUUCCUAUCGGAGGACGGAGGGUGUGUGGAGAUGGGGGAGGCGAUCGCUCCCUUCUCUCCCCCGUCGUCGCCGACCCCUCUGGACCAAAGCCCCGCUCCGAUUUACCUCCUCCAGGUGGGCAACUUCAGAGCAAGGUGAUGUCUCCAGAGCCGGCAGCACCGGCCAGGCGAUUCGUAUGCGGCAGAGUCAUUGCCUGUGCUUUUGCUGCU